GGAAACCAAUUUGACAAUGAAUUUCAUAUAUUGAAAAAAAAUAAAAAUAAAAAUCUUUUCAUCCUUGGGACGCUUGGGUGGCUCAGGGGGGUAAGCUUCUGACUUCCACUCAGGUCACGAUCUUGUGGUUUGUGGGUUCAGGCCCCGCACUGGGCUCUGUGCUGACAGUUCAGAGCCCGAUGCGGGGCCUGCUUGGGAUUCUCACUCUCUCUCUGCCCCUGUCCCACUUGCUCUCUCUCUCUCUCUCUCUCUCUCAAAAUAAAUAAAUAAACUUAAAAAUAUGUGUAGUUUCAUCCUUAUGUGUUAUCUGUAAAAACGGAAUCAAAUCUCUGAAUGUUAAAACAUAUGUACGUAAUGCUAAUAUAUGUUCAUAUAUAAUGUUAAUUUUAUAUAUGCAUGAAAGUUACAGAAGCAGCACUCUUGUCGCAGCCUCUUGUGGUGGGGUAGCUUUCUGUGACCAGCUUGGAUUAUCCUGGAACAAAGAUCUGGAGAACAGGGGCACCUCAAGUCUGAGAGCCUGAUCUGCGCCCUGAAGUCCAGACCUGGACCCCCAACUGCUUUUUUAACACCUCCACUUGGAAGUCUAGAAAGCAUCCCAGAUUUGACAUGUCCACAAUGGAAAUCACGAUUUUUUUUCCUUCACAAGCCUGCCUCUUCCUUGGUUUUACCCAUCUUAAUAAAUGAUUCCAUUCUUCCA